rnacentral:rRNA from 1 species
AUACGUAGGGAGCAAGCGUUGUCCGGAUUUACUGGGUGUAAAGGGUGCGUAGGCGGCUUAGCAAGUCAGACGUGAAAUGCAGAGGCUUAACUUCUGAACUGCGUUUGAAGCUGUUAGGCUUGAGUGAAGCAGAGGUAGGCGGAAUUCCCGGUGUAGCGGUGAAAUGCGUAGAGAUCGGGAGGAACACCAGUGGCGAAGGCGGCCUACUGGGCUUUAACUGACGCUGAGGCACGAAAGCGUGGGUAGC